GCGUGUUUCGUCUAGUGGGAAAGACGGCGGGCAACGGGUCCGCAAACAUGGGUUCGAAUCCCAUAGCACAAA
rnacentral:tRNA from 1 species